CGUUUAAAGAAAAAAUAAAUCUGCACCGUUCAUCGUGACUUGAUCUCGACUGUAUGAUCGUGUUUGAAGAGAAAAUAAAUUUAAAUCGUUCAUCGCGCUUAAUCGCGACCGUCCGAUCGUACCUAAGGAGGGAAUGGAUCUGGACAGUCCACGCGUGUGGGAACACAUCCGGGACGUCCGAUCAUGGGCUCGUAGAUUGCCAGCGUGACCUCCCGCAUGGCACCAAGUCAGCACGCCUUGCCAUGUGGCGCGCUUCGGUUUGUUGGAGCUGCUGACUGGACGGUCUUACGUGGUACAAUUUUUUUAAUUGCAUUUUGACCUCCAGUUUAUGAUUU
rnacentral:lncRNA from 1 species